UCUGACACUUAGUCUGCACGAAUUUUUGAGUACUAAUGCCGAAAAAUUUUCGACAGUUAUCUUUACGGCAACAAAAUCGACGUCUUGAAGCAUAC